GUGCAGCAGGCGCGAAAACUUCGCAAUACGCGCAAGCGUGACGAGGGAACCCCAAGUACUCUUGCUUUUUGCAGGAGUUUUUGCCAAGUGUAAACAGCUUGGAGAAUAAGGGCGGGGUAAGGCCGGUGCCAGCCGCCGCGGUAAUACCGGCCGCCCGAGUAGUGACCACUAUUAUUGGGCCUAAAGCGUCCGUAGCCGGCUGUGCAAGUCCUCCGUUAAAUCCAGUGAUUUAAUCGUUGGAUUGCGGGGGAUACUGUUCGGCUAGGUGAUGGGAGAAGCCAACGGUAUUCCCGGGGUAGGGGUGAAAUCCUAUAAUCCCGGGAGGAACACCAGUGGCGAAGGCGUUCUGCGAGAACGGGCUCGACGGUGAGGGACGAAAGCCAGGGGCGCAAACGGGAUUAGAUACCCGGGUAGUCC
rnacentral:rRNA from 1 species